rnacentral:rRNA from 1 species
UACGUAGGGUGCAAGCGUUGUCCGGAAUUAUUGGGCGUAAAGAGCUCGUAGGCGGUCUGUCGCGUCGGCUGUGAAAACCCGGAGCUCAACUCCGGGCCUGCAGUCGAUACGGGCAGACUGGAGUUCGGCAGGGGAGACUGGAAUUCCUGGUGUAGCGGUGAAAUGCGCAGAUAUCAGGAGGAACACCGGUGGCGAAGGCGGCUCUCUGGGACGGUACUGACGCUGAGACGCGAAAGCGUGGGGAGCGAACAGG